GGGUGGCGGGAGCUGGAGGAGGAGGGAGCAGGGAGCCGGAGGUGGGUGUAUGGGGGCGGGAGCCCAGGGCCUAGGAGGGUUUCCGGAGGCUCAGUGACAGGUGCUGUGGGGCAUGGCGGGGGUCCACCUUUCCUUGCCCUCUGCCAACUCCCCCCAUCCCAGAUGUCUUUGCCCGGGCCUGCCCUCCCCACCCCCCCUCCAGCAAGCUCAAGGUGGGCACAGUGGGAAACACAGCCUUGCUCAAUAGAGCAAAGCGAUAGGCUUCUCUUAUUUUUCUUUGGAUAAAGGAUCCGCUGAGCCUGGAAAACGUGGACUCCAGAGAGGGUGGUCUGAUCGCCUCAGAGGUCUGAAGGCCAGAGGGGGAGGGGGAGCCCAGAACAUCCAUCCCUCAUCAACACACACACACACAACACACACACACACACACACACACAGGCGCCAAAAUACCCCAUAUUUGGUCCUGUCUCCCUCACCUCCAUUCCCACCCUACCCCCAUCCCCUCCACAAAACAAGUUUCUCAGGGUGGGAGGCUGCAAGGUAGAAUUUCCAAGGAAGUCAUUUCAGGACUCCUCUCUGAGGAACACUAAACCCCUUUACCUUCCGCCCCUCCUCUCCCAGAAUAAUAGCUGAAUGGUUACUCCACAAAUCACCAGGACCACACCUAAUUUAUAGAGUUCAUGCUUAUUUAAGGAGCUGUCUCCUAUUUAGUACCCUCUCCUCUAACCUUCUUCCUCCAUUGUCCUCUUGCAACACACACACACUGUCACUAUGAAGGGCAGUUGGAUUUGGGGAGAUGCGAGACUGAAGAGACCUACAGAGGCCCACCUAGCUCUAACCUGGGGGGAGGGGAGCUCCUCCUGAAACAAUGGAAAAAAUGCUGAAGGAGCCACCAGGCAGCUUCUGGUGUCUAAAGCCCCUUUCAGCCCCAACCUGGUUUGAAUGCCUAGAAAUGACUUACCUCACCACCACAGAAGCUACCUCCUCUUCAGAGAGAAGAUAAUCAUAAGGAUCUUAACAUUGUGAAUCGUGGCUUUGAAACAGGUAAGCUGUGCGCUUCCAGGCCUGACCCUUACAAUGAGGAAGAGGAGAGUCUAUUUCAAUUACGGCAAGUCACAGGCCUCAAUUUCUGGCUGCAGAUCUAGAGGAUGACCUAAACUUUCAACUUCCAAAGAAAAUUUGAAGACCUACAAAUAAAUAUCUACAACAAGUUACGGUUCUUCUAGUUACAUAUGCUACCACACGUUCUUUAUCUUGCCAGCAUUAAGGAAAUAAGGCAAAGACGAGGUCGGAGCCUUCAGGAGGAACUUUAAGAAGAGGAAGAAGUGGACUCCCAAGGACUGUGGAGCUGGACGUGGCCAUAGGGAACAUCUCCAAAUCUCUCACUUUUCAGAUAAGAAUUAAGAAGACAGCGAGCACACUGGGAGGCUGAGAGGUGGUGGUGCUGAUGAUGGUGAAGUCACCGUGCUGAUGAAGGCUGAGUCGGUGGAGGUGGCGUGAUGCGAGGUACAGGAGACUGGAGUGCAGGAGAGAGAGGAAGUGGGGUCCUCUAUUAACAUCUCAUUGUGGUCUGAAUCCAUCAGGGCAGGCAGGUCACUAACUCACUAAGGUCUACAGCUCUGAUGUCCGCCUGCCUGCACGUCGAAGGUCGAGGUUCCUCGUCUGCUGUGGCUGCUGUGGCUGCUGUGGCUGAUGUGGCUGAUGGGGAAGACUUGAAAUAGCACAGUAUGCUUGACUGCUUAGCCUCUAUAACGUCUCGCUGCAAAACAAACGCUGAACACUAUUUUUGCUUUUUUUCGUAAAAGUGAAAAUCUUCUUCAAAUUUCUUUUGGUUUUGAAAACAGGUACUAAUGUAGGCUUUUCGUAAAAGCGAAGUGGCAUAAAGCGAACUUUUGAAUAGUAGAGGAAACUUGUACUGUCCAGGCUAUUAUUUUUCAGCGAUUUUGUAAUUGUUUUGACUUUAAUCUUUUGGUGAUAUCUCUUUGUUAUUUUUUUUAUAUUUCCAUUUCCAAAUUAUGCCACUGCUUUGUUCCUUGUCCAUAAUCGGGGUAAUCCCAGGAUUAUUAGGCACUUCUGAUGUGGCUCCUCAUCUAUCCUGGAACUGCUCUUACGAUCUCAAAAUGAGACAGGACACAUGGUUCGCAUGGAGUUGGUUAGAGCACGUUUACUACAGAAGAUGGCUCAAUAAGGAGAGCUGGUGGGGCAAAUCAAAGCCAGAAUCCUUGAGGAGAACUAGGAGGAGCUGAAGAUCCCACAGACAACCUGCACGUCCAAAGAUGCUGGAAUAGGAUAGCGAGUGAGUUAACAGAGAGAGGAGUUAAGAACUGGAAAGACUGCUGUGAAUAUUGACUUCAUUGGACUUGUGGGUUUGAGGUGAAUGGCAACUGGCUUAUGGAAGUUAAAGAUACAUGGUGAGGGGCAUAGUGUAUAUUAUGGAGAAUUCUGUGCCUCCCUGCAAGUGAGCAUUUCUAUGAGGCUGGAUCGCAAUAUGAUACUUAUGUUAUUUAAUGAUCAUAUACUGCCUGAUUCAUUAUUCUUUGUCCAUCUUAAAGUGCAUUGUACAUUUCUUGACCCCAUGAUCCGCUUAAUCCCAUGGAAUCUAAUGUGAGGUUCAGGAAUUUAUUAUGCAUGAUGUGAUGCUAUCUCUCUUCUCUCUCUCUCUCUCUCUCUCUAUAGACACAGAUACAUACACACACAUGCAAACAUAUAUAUCUGUGUGUGUAUAUA